GAGAGGGCGAGAAGCCAGAGCAGAGAGAGAGAGAGAGGAAGGGCCGCACCAUGAGAGGAGGAGGAGAGGGAGAAACCCAUUCCAGCUGUGGAACCCGUCCGGUCAGGAGAACCUCUUCUUCUUCACAUUGAAGGAUUUUUGAUUUUUGAUUUUCUCUUCCAACGAAGCGUCAAAAGGGAACAAACCGUGCCGAGAAGUUCCAGCGGCCCUCGGAGGAUUCACCCGUCAAGCAUGAGCGCGGACAACGCCACCCUGCUGGACAGCCUGCUGUUCCCGCCGCUCUGCGGCGGCUGGAGCAACCGGACGGAGGGCGCCAUCUACCACCUGGGCAGCACCAUCCUGUUCCUGGGCUACAUGGGGGGCAGCGGCGCCUACGGCUGCCUCUUCAUCUUCGGCUUCCUGUCGCCGGCCUUCCUGUGCCUGGCGCUGUGGGGCCGCCUGACGCUGUGCGGCGCCGACGUCUUCACCUGGAACCUGCUGCUGCUGCUGGCCUGCCUGCUGCAGAUCUACCACCUGCUGUACCGGCUGCACCGCGAGGGCGUGCGCGGCGAGGAGCUGGCCGCCCUCUACCAGGCCGUGUACCUGCCGCUGGGCGUGCCCGUGCACGUGUUCAAGGAGAUCAGCCACGCCUUCGGGGACCGGGUGGUGGAGCUGAGGGCGGGCGAGACGUACGCCGUGGAGGGCAAGACGCCCAUCGACCAGCUGUCCUUCCUGCUGUCCGGGAGGAUCAACGUGUCUCUGGAGGGCCAGUUCCUGCACUACAUCCACCGACACCAGUUCCUCGACUCCCCCGAGUGGGAAUCGCUCAGACCAAACGAAGAGGGGAAGUUCCAGGUGACCCUGACGGCGGAGGAGGACUCGCGCUUCGUCUCGUGGCGCCGCCGCCGCCUCUACAUGCUGAUCUCCAAGCAGCGCUACGUGGCCCGCCUCUUCUCCGUCAUGCUGGGAUACGACAUCGCCGAGAAGCUCUACAACCUCAACAACAAGCUGUACAUCAAGAGCGGCGUGCUGCUGGACAUCCGCCUGCCCAGCCUCUACCACGUGCUGGCCCCGUCCUCGCAGGGCAGCGAGGGCGGCAGCGGCAGCGACGGCGGCGGCGGCGCCAGGGACCGGCGGGGCCGGGAGCCGGCGCCGGCCUACCAGAGCCCCGACCCCGCCCAGCCCCCGCCCCUCCCGCCGUACCCGGAGCUGGAGGCGGAGCCGGAGCCGGAGCUGCCGUCGGGUGAGGACUCCACCAGCCUGGUCCUGGAGGACUUCGCCGACGUGGCGGGAUCCUUGGUGGACUAUGGCAGUGAGAGGGAUUAUUUGAGGUAGAGGGGCAGGGGGCUGCAGCUAACACACUGGGUCACCUCUUAUCAUGCAAUGGGGCGACAGUGCCGGAACCGUCCCUCCUCGCUUCCUGAGGGGCCGAGCGCCGCUGGCCCCCACCGACACCCCCAAACUGUGAGGACGGCCCCGCCCCCUGCAGCGGCGCCUUCCCCGUCCCUCCACGCCCCGGAGCACCGAGAUGAGACGAAACAUUUCCUUCCUCUCACACUUCAAGUCACAGAUUGAGCCGUUUGAAGGAAAGAGAAGCCAGCGAGUCUGAGUGUGUGAAGCAGCUGCUGUUCAACACGGAUUAUUGUCACAAGACUCAGGAAUCUGCUUUUAAACCUAAAAUACAGAUUAAAGCUGGUGGAUUUCUGUCAGUGUCAUCACGAAUAAACAUGCAGAUCAUGUAUUUCACCUGUAAGCGCCUGCCGGGCGUGAAUCACACGGGCACCUCGUACUAACAGUCACUGGACGCCACCGUCUCACCGCCAACACCUUCCUCCAUGUUGAGGGUUUGAUUUUCUGCUCCCGAAUCGAAUGGAUUUGGUUUUCAUCUCACUUGUUGUGUUUGAUUCGGACUUGACCGUCACUCAGUUUAACGUUCGAUUUGACAUGUUUGUAUCACGGUUUGCUCGUGUUCAGUGUGAUAAAGAGUUUUGGCUGAACGUCUCCAGGCUGGAGUGGGUUUCCUGUUAGUGAACGGAUCAGAACAUCAGAACUUUUUCGUUAAGUUCAGCCAACGACAGAGAAUUUAAAACAUUUGUAGAGAUGUAGUUUGUGAUCGUGAUUUUUAAUGUGAGAGAGUGGAUUGUUUUGGAACGGCUGUGUUUGUGUUCUGACUGCGGUUUUCUUGAUGUUUGUCAGGAGAUGAGCGUCACUCCACGCCGGAUCUUCGCUCACAUUCUGCUUUAUAUCAGAUACCUUAUUAGAAAUAACUCUAAUUAAACUGAUAAGUUUUUAUUGGUACUGUCAAGAUUAAUUUUCUUAAUCGUGAUUGAUCACAGAAUUUCCUUAGUUAAUUGUGAUUGACUGCUUUUUAAAACGCAUAUUUAAAAUUCUGUUGUUUUGCAUUUCAAGGCAGUUUUAAAAACAUAACAUAAAAAGGUCAUCGGUCCAGACAGGAAGUUGAUUUUAGAUUAAUCGUUGAAAUUUGAACAAACAAACAACCUCUGUGAAUUCUGUGUGACCUUGCUGCGGCGACGGAACAUAACUUCAAGGUCACGCAGAGUUCUAACAGAUCGGUUGAUUUAAGAUUAAUCUUUUGAAUUUCAACAUCACAACUUCCUGUUUGGACUCAUUUCUCUUCAGA